rnacentral:rRNA from 1 species
UGAUCCUGGCUCAGGAUGAACGCUAGCGGCAGGCUUAACACAUGCAAGUCGAGGGGCAGCGCGGGGUAGCAAUACCCUGGCGGCGACCGGCGAAAGGGUGAGUAACGCGUGAGCAACGUGCCCGUAUGUGGGGGAUAGUCGAUGGAAACGUCGCGUAAUACCCCGUAACACACUUCCCCGCAUGAGGAGGUGUUGAAAGAUUUAUUGCAUACGGAUCGGCUCGCGUGCCAUUAGCUAGUUGGCGGGGUAACGGCCCACCAAGGCGACGAUGGCUAGGGGUUCUGAGAGGAAGGUCCCCCACAUUGGAACUGAGACACGGUCCAGACUCCUACGGGAGGCAGCAGUGAGGAAUAUUGGACAAUGGCCGGAAGGCUGAUCCAGCCAUGCCGCGUGCGGGAGGACGGCCCUAUGGGUUGUAAACCGCUUUUGCGAGGGAGCAAUAAGAGUCACGUGUGGCUCGAUGAGAGUACCUCGCGAAUAAGCAUCGGCUAACUCCGUGCC